rnacentral:rRNA from 1 species
GUGGGGAAUUUUGGACAAUGGGCGAAAGCCUGAUCCAGCCAUGCCGCGUGCAGGAUGAAGGCCUUCGGGUUGUAAACUGCUUUUGUACGGAACGAAAAGACUUCUUCUAAUACAGGAGGUCCAUGACGGUACCGUAAGAAUAAGCACCGGCUAACUACGUGCCAGCAGCCGCGGUAAUACGUAGGGUGCAAGCGUUAAUCGGAAUUACUGGGCGUAAAGCGUGCGCAGGCGGUUAUAUAAGACAGAUGUGAAAUCCCCGGGCUCAACCUGGGAACUGCAUUUGUGACUGUAUAGCUAGAGUACGGUAGAGGGGGAUGGAAUUCCGCGUGUAGCAGUGAAAUGCGUAGAUAUGCGGAGGAACACCGAUGGCGAAGGCAAUCCCCUGGACCGGUACUGACGCUCAUGCACGAAAGCGUGGGGAGCAAACAGGAUUAGAUACCCGUGUAGUCC